GCUGUGUAAAUAUUUUUAUUCACUUCCAGAAGUGAACUAUGUUUACUGAUUUGCAGUGACCAAUGCAUUCAGGUUCCUAAUGUCCAAUGCUUAUGUAUACUUCCUGAUUACUAAAGCCACAUCAAAGAUAAAGAUGAAAAAUAAAAGGAAAGUGAGAGAUGAAAUAGAGAGAAAGAGAGAUGGGAAUGUGGGCAACAAAAUAACUUUUUACUUUGAUGCUUUAAGGAAGAGGGCUGAAACUCAGGCAUAGUUCCCUGGAGGCUGAGUCAUCCAACAUCCCUCAUCACUUGAACUAGUGAGCAUUUGUACGAGUGAGCAGAAGAGAAGAAAAAUAUGAAUGCUACCACUUCAUUAGACUGUUCUUCUUGAUAAAUUUAGAUUUUUUUUAAUUGCUUUUUUUUUUUUUUUUUUUUUUGUAUUAUUUUGUUGUUGUUGAAGCGACACUGAGGCAAAGGAAACUUGGCAAUCUUUUCAAUGGAGGUCAAAUGGAGACUAGGGUGUACCAAGCUUCUCAGCAGAAAAUAGAGGACUGCAGCUUGCAGAAAGCCUCCAGGAAAAGGAGAGAUGAUAACAAAGCCAGCUGAGGGGGCUUAUGGAAAGGACAUUUUCUGACAAGGAACAGAACUCUGUUGUGUACCUACCUGAGAACCUGUUAUUGAAAGAUUGAGAAAGACCACCCAUCCAGAGACCAUAUCACCCAACAGGGAAGUGCCAAUUUUAAUCCUUCAGAGGUCUUUUUACCCUACCGCAUAUCCACUUCCAUCAAGAUACAGGAUUGAGUGACAAGUGAUUUAAUGUUUUGUAAUGAGAGGCUAAUUUUUAGGGAAUUAUACAGGGGGCAGAGGGUCUGUGUAGCAGAGCUUUGUCAGUGAAAAUGCCACAAUGGUGAUAUCACAUCCAGGUUGCUAAGAUUACCACCUACUGAUAUCCCAAAGGUGGAGACUAAAGAAUGAACCUCAUAGAUUUAGCUAGGAGUUCAAAUUACAGAAUGCAACCAUAUGUUGGUACUUAGGUGGUAGAAGCAAAGCUCCCAGCAAUGGAAGGAACUGAUAAGACAGAGUGAAAGAGAGAGAUGGUCAUGUGCAGAUAUAACAGUAACAUUCUUACAUUAAUAAUUAUAAUAAAAAGCAGAAGGAAUAUUUGCUGGAUUUUUCAGAACAAAACAGCUUUUCACUUAAAUUUGUCAAAACACACAUAUAUGAGGUAUCAUGAAGUAACAGAUUUUUUCUUUUAUCACUUGGUCACUAGGGAAGCAGAGGUUAGGAAAUUAACUGUAAUUGCCUUUAAUUGUUUUAAGCACUAGACUCAUUUGUUUAGAUGAAAUUUGUAGAAAAACAUUUAUAGUUAAAGAUGUGUUCAUGGUGAGCUAAGCAUGAGUACUCAGAUUGCCUAGGGGUUUAAAAAAAGACCCUAUUCUCAUAAAAGUACUUGACCUGGGAAUACAUUCAAAAAUUGGGGUCAAAUGUGCACUAGCUGAGUUAAUUUAUAAAGGCCUCAUUUUUUCAGAAGUAAAAGUAUCAAGAAAAUGAUGGGAGAAAAAAAAUCUAAUGAGAUCCUAGAUGUUUAAAAUAGCUCCAGGUGUAAACAACAGCUGC
ensembl:lncRNA